rnacentral:rRNA from 1 species
GACGAACGCUGGCGGCGUGCUUAACACAUGCACGUCGAACGGAAAGGCCCUGCUUUUGUGGGGUGCUCGAGUGGCGAACGGGUGAGUAACACGUGAGUAACCUGCCCUUGACUUUGGGAUAACUUCAGGAAACUGGGGCUAAUACCGGAUAGGAGCUCCUGCUGCAUGGUGGGGGUUGGAAAGUUUCGGCGGUUGGGGAUGGACUCGCGGCUUAUCAGCUUGUUGGUGGGGUAGUGGCUUACCAAGGCUUUGACGGGUAGCCGGCCUGAGGGGGUGACCGGCCACAUUGGGACUGAGAUACGGCCCAGACUCCUACGGGAGGCAGCAGUGGGGAAUAUUGCACAAUGGGCGGAAGCCUGAUGCAGCAACGCCGCGUGCGGGAUGACGGCCUUCGGGUUGUAAACCGCUUUCGCCUGUGACGAAGCGUGAGUGACGGUAAUGGGUAAAGAAGCACCGGCUAACUACGUG